rnacentral:lncRNA from 1 species
CAGAGACUCAGGAGGCUGAGGCAGGAGAAUCACAAGUUGGAGGCCAGCCUCAACAACUUAAUGAGGACUUAAGAAACUUAGUGAGAACAUGUCUCAAAAGAAAAAGAAAAGAAAGACCGAAAAAAAAUUCUUUUAUUACUGGUUUUCAUCAGGUUGACUAUAUAAUGUGCUUUGGCAUCUUGCUAGGGGUUGUUAAGAAUUCUGGGUUCGUGGCUUUAUAGAUUUUCACCAAAUUUGAAAAAUGUUGUCAUUAUUUCUUCAAGUGUUUUUUUCUGCCUUCACUCCUCCCUUUCUGAGAAUCCAACUAAACAAAUGUUCAACUACAGAAUAUUGUCCCACAGGUCACAAGGUUCUAUUCCCUUUCGUGUGUGUGUGUGUGUGUGUGUGUUAUAUCCAGUUUCUCUAGUUGUUUGCAUUGGGAAAAUCAGCAUGUUCAAAACAACUGUAUUACAGCUAGAAGCAGAAUCCCUGAUGAUCUUUGCACCAGGCUUUACUGCAAGUAGGUCAGAACUGAAGAGCCAGUUGCAAAGAGCUGGAAUGCCCAAAGCACAUGCAGACAGGAUGCGGGUCUGGGCAGUGGUCUCAUCUCCCCAGUAGACUCAGACCCACUCAGGAGUCUCGGCGAUCUGACUAGUCAGUCUAGGAAUGCAUGUUGGAUAAGUAAUUUUACUCUUGGGGAGACUUUGAGCUAGAUACUAAGCUGCUUUCCAUACCUGUGAAGUAGGGAGCAGGACACCCACCUUUGGCUGGUGUGGGAAUUAAAGUGUGGCUAAUGUGUGUGAAGCAGGGAGCACCGGCCAGCCAUGAGGAAACAGGUGGCAGUGGUGGCAUUGAUGCUGUCGUUGAAAUCACUGGGUCUCCGUCCUUAGCAUUUUGCAGACACCAACCACUGGGAAGGGCUGAUAGGCUGUGGCCUGGCUCCCGAGCUGUCAGAAAGAACCCUGGGUGGAGGCACGGGGAACUGCUUGUCCCAUCCCAGAAAGGGCUGCCCUCCCAGCCCAGGGCGGUGUGCAGCCUCUGGGCAGGAGCAGAGCAGUCCCAGGAUGGCAGUCCAGGUUGGGCUUGGCGCUGCUCCCCAGGCACUGCUGGCUGAGUCUUGC